UGCCUCCCUGGGUCUCCCAUUCUACCUUGCCCAUCGCAUUCCCCUGGAGGCCAGGAGCUACACACUGGAGCCUGAGGGGGUCCUCCAUCCCCACAGAACCAGCUGAUGGUGGUGCUUCAGCUUGUGGAUGAAGUUGAUCAUGUACUCACACAUGGGCGAGCGGUGGAUGCGGUACACAAAGCGGCCAUUCUCCAGCCGGGCAUACUCCGUCUGGGAGGGCCAGAAGACAUCACCAAGCCUGCCCACACCGGCCCACCCACCCUGUCCCCAUGGCCCCACUCACCUCCACCUUCUCCACCACCUGCUUGCCAAAGGAGCACACCUUAGUGGACACACUGAUGGUCAUGCUGUCGGCAGAGCUGUACUGGGAGCUGACCCCAUAGAAGGCUCCUGGGCCCUCCUGGAUAGUACUGUUGAGGGUGUCUUCAAGUAUGAUACGUGGACCAACAGCACCAGCAUCACCAGGGAGCAGGUGAGAAAAUCAACCUUUCAGGCCUCAGCAUGGACCUAAGGAAUCAGGAACCCCAAGGGAAGCCCCAGAGGUCUGUUUGAAGGAGCCCUUCGGGGGACCUGCCACCCACCGAAGCCUGUGAACAACUGCAUUUCAUUCUUACAAAUGCUGCUUGCAAACGUGUUAAACUGAUUUCAUAAUCCGUAAUUUGUUU